AUUGAACGCUGGCGGCAUGCUUUACACAUGCAAGUCGAACGGCAGCGCGGGCUUCGGCCUGGCGGCGAGUGGCGAACGGGGGAGUAAUACAUCGGAACGUGCCCAGUAGUGGGGGAUAGCUCGGCGAAAGCCGGAUUAAUACCGCAUACGACCUGAGGGUGAAAGCGGGGGAGCUUCGGACCGCGCGCUAUGGGAGCGGCCGAGGGCGGUUUAGCUAGUUGGUGGGGUAAAGGCCUACCAAGCCGACGAUUGGUAGCUGGUCUGAGAGGGCGACCAGCCACACUGGAACUGGGACACGGACCAGACGCCUACGGGAGGCAGCAGUGGGGAAUUUUGGACAAUGGGCGAAAACCUGAUCCAGCAAUGCCGCGUGUGUGAUGAAGGCCUUCGGGUUGUAAAGCACUUUUGGCGGGAACGAAAAGGACUGUGCCAAUACCACGGUUCGAUGACGGUACCCGCAGAAUAAGCACCGGCUAACUACGUG
rnacentral:rRNA from 1 species